rnacentral:rRNA from 1 species
UACGAAGGGGACUAGCGUUGUUCGGAAUUACUGGGCGUAAAGCGCACGUAGGCGGAUUUGUAAGUCAGGGGUGAAAUCCCGGGGCUCAACCUCGGAACUGCCUUUGAUACUGCAAAUCUCGAGUCCGAUAGAGGUGGGUGGAAUUCCUAGUGUAGAGGUGAAAUUCGUAGAUAUUCGCAGGAACACCAGUGGCGAAGGCGGACACGCUGGACCCUUUCUGACGCUGAGGCGCGAAAGCCAGGGGAGCGAACGGG